AAAAAGGCCCUUUUCAGGGCCACCACAUAUUACAGAAACGUCAAUAU
rfam:Daphnia magna strain Xinb3 scaffold01581, whole genome shotgun sequence.